AUUGAACGCUGGCGGCAUGCCUUACACAUGCAAGUCGAACGGCAGCACGGGAGCAAUCCUGGUGGCGAGUGGCGAACGGGUGAGUAAUAUAUCGGAACGUGCCCAGUCGUGGGGGAUAACGUAGCGAAAGCUACGCUAAUACCGCAUACGAUCUACGGAUGAAAGCGGGGGAUCGCAAGACCUCGCGCGAUUGGAGCGGCCGAUAUCAGAUUAGCUAGUUGGUGGGGUAAAAGCCCACCAAGGCGACGAUCUGUAGCUGGUCUGAGAGGACGACCAGCCACACUGGAACUGAGACACGGUCCAGACUCCUACGGGAGGCAGCAGUGGGGAAUUUUGGACAAUGGGCGCAAGCCUGAUCCAGCAAUGCCGCGUGCAGGAUGAAGGCCUUCGGGUUGUAAACUGCUUUUGUACGGAACGAAACGGUGAGCUCUAAUAAAGCUUGCUAAUGACGGUACCGUAAGAAUAAGCACCGGCUAACUACGUG
rnacentral:rRNA from 1 species